rnacentral:lncRNA from 1 species
CGAGUCUGUUAAGGAUGGAAUAUUGGGGCCUUCCCCAUUCAAAUGCUAAAUCCCUAACCCCCAGUGUGGCUGUAUUUGGAGAUAGGGCUUCUAAGGCAAUAAUUAUGGUUAAAUGAGGUCAUAAGGGUGUGGCCCUGAUCUAACAGGAUUAGUGUCCUUAUAAGAGUGUGCUCUCUCUCCCUCUCCCUUUCCCUGUCCCACUUCCUCCUCCAUCUCCCUCUCUGCCUUUCUUCCUCUCUCUCCCUCUCUCCAUCACCAGAGCACACAGCAAGAAGCCAGACAUCUGUAAGCCAGGAAGACAGGCCUCCUCAGAGACCCCACAGGACCUAGAUCUGGACGACUUCCAGCCUCCAGAACUAAAUUAAGAGCUGAUGGAGUCCACCAAAUCCAGAGCCUCCCCCAAAGAAGAAGAAAUGGGACCCAGGAAGGAGGAAGGAGAAACAAAAGGAAUUCACAGGAUGAUGCUGAGGGGAAGCUUCAGGAAAGCAAUUUCUAAGGCCAGAGACCACCAGUCCAGAGGGAGAACUGAGAACUCCCGCAGGAUGCCACCAAGAAAACAAACAAAAAGAAUCCUACAGGUUGUCUGAUUUUACCAUAGUGAUGAAUUUGAUAGCUUUAGCAGAGUAUCUUAGGGUGAAAUAAAUAGUAAAGGGUGCAUAGAAAAGUAAGAAAAUAAAUAAAAGUAAAGCAAUGUUUAAUUCCAAGGGAAAAAUUUAAUCAUGGAACAAUAUGGCCCAAUUGUGACAAAUUUCCACUUAAUUGUAAUAAAAUCAAAUAAUUAUUUGUGGUUCAAUAAACAUCAGUGAAUAUUUUAUUAUGAUUAAAUAGAAAUUUGCCACAGUUGGGUCAUAUUGUUCUAUGAUUACAGCUAGAUUGAAAGGGCAGGGAAGAUACACUUGUGUUUUGAGUGAAGCAACUGCAGGAAUAACAGAAUAAAAUCUUCAUCUAUAAAAGCCAGCUAUCAAUGGAAAACUUAUAAUACACACUUUUUAAAAUAAAAAAGUAGUUCUGCAAGCUUAUUAUUAGAAAUAGGAAGGUAAAUAACAGAAACAGCAGCUAAAUGAUUUCAAGUUGUUGCUUCUAUAAAACAGAAAUUGAGGGUGGAGGGAAGGUGUGGUAGAAAAACACUCUUUUAUCAUAAUCAUCAUGAGUUUUAAAACUAUAUACCUAUAUUAAUGUCAUUUAAAAUUUCAAAGGAAAAUAUUAUAU